rnacentral:lncRNA from 1 species
CACUUUCCAACAUUUUUGGUAACUUAGUAUUCCCACAACCUCCAUCAAUCUCUCUUGACUCUUUACGGCUUCAAGUUCUACUACUCCAACACCUACAAUGGCUUGCAAUGGUAAUUAAUUGUUCUUACUCAGCAAACUUAGGGUUGAUUAAUGGAACUUGACGGGAAACACUUUCAACUUCAUCGACGACCUCUGCAAUUGUUGGUUCAAAUUCUUUAUCCUGCAAAAAUUGAAAAUUUAUGAUGCGUUGGUAAAGGAAUUUUGGAGGCACGUGAUGAAAUAGUUUCAACUUCAUCAAUAGUCAUGCAUUCUGGGAUGGAGAAAUUUCAAUCAACAUUCUAGGGUUCCCAAUCAAAGUCACCCAACAAUCCAUUACUGCCAUUACCAAAUACAUGGAUGGAGGAAUGCUAAUGGAGUCAAAUUAUGAGAGAAAAUUUGAUAUGUCUAAGAUCAACAAAGAACUUUUUAAGAACUCCUCUAUAAACUCCUAGGCCAUCAAAGUGGUGAAAAACAAAAUGAAAUUACAAUUAUAAAAAUAGUUUAGUAAAAUAAAGUUGAAUCAUAAAGAACUUAUAUUAGAGUAAUAUAUAUAGAUCGAAGGAUCACAAGGAUUGUUAUACUAGUUCAUAACAAAUUGUAACUACAUCUAGUCCUCCCCUUACAGAGAGAUUUUGCCUCAGUAUAAUCGAAGACUUAAUCCACUAUUUCAACAAUAGCAUACAAGUAUUUUUCUCUAGCCUCCCUAGGUUAUCAUCAUUAGAACCCUUCUCCAACUUUCUAGCAACCUGCCAUUGAGGAUCAUGAAUGUUGUUGUACCUCUUUAGGUACUUCUUAGAGGUGAUAGAGUUGUUGACACUAUCACAUUGAUUUAUAUUAGUUCUAGUUUGUGUCUGAAUUGUUACAAAGUUUAUUAAUGGUGUUCUAACUCUUAUUGAGGGGAUGUUACAUAUGAAGUCCUAUAUCAGUUCAAGUGUAUGAAAAUACUAUGAGUAAUUUACAUAAAUUCUAAUAACUCUUUACUGAGGGGAUUUUUCUAUCAUACUUUUCUUUUUAUGUGUUCUUGGUUUUUCCAAAAUUUCUUCUUAACACAUUGCCUUUUUCAUUCUCACUCAAUCAAGAUUGAUUGGACGGUUUCUUCUUAACUACAAAGAAGAAGUGUCUGUUGAGAAUAUUACUGUUGGAGAUCUUCAAUCACCAUUUAAAGCAGACCAAUCUUUAAGAUGUAUCCAUAUAUAUCUUCAUAAUUGAUUUUACGCAUCUUCAAUUAAGAAGGCACAUCUUCAAUCACCAUUUAAAGCAGACCAAGUUUCAAUGACGCUCCCUUCAUUGUUGGAGACUUCUAUGCUCCAAUCUUUGAAGAGGACAAUAAUGAAGUCAUUCAUGAGUACAAUUGCAUGGCUAUAAUUUACCAAAAUCAUGAAGUAAAAAAAAAAGGCAAGGAAAGAUGGAUAUUGUUGAAAAGAGGAAGCCAAUGAGGAAGAGGUUUUCCCUUCUUUGAAAAGAACAUAGAUGGCAACCUCUGUUUUGAGUCUAUUUACAUUUAUGCCUCUGUAAAUAUUAACAUUAGUGUAUAUAUAAAUUCAUCUACUGCUAAAUUAGAUACAACCUUAUCCUAUACAACUACAAAUACACAAUAUCAAUUCCAACCUAAAACACAUUCUGAAUUCAAUCCUCAUCCACCUUUGAACCUAACUCUGAACAAAACCCUGAAACACAAACACCGUCCCCACGUGUGACCAACCCAAGGAGAACCUACAUUAUCUUUAAUUAUUUGAUUUAAUGAGUAAAAUAAAUUAAAAAUAUUAUAUUUAAUUAUUUAUUUAUUUUUUAAAAAUAAUAGCACUUAACUGGAAAUAUUUUUAAGAAUAAGAUUUUAUGUGUAUAUGUGCGUUUGUAAUUAAUGUGAUAUUUUUUUGUGAAUUUGAAUAAUGUUAAAUUGAAAAAUAAUUAUAUUUAAUUAAAUAAUUAUCUUGAAAUAUAAAUAAUAUCGUGAUUGAUUUCCUUUAUUUUUAUAUACUUUCUAUGACAUGAUUUUAUAUAUAUUCAUUGAGAUUUAGUAAUGAAUGUAAAUUGUUGAGUUUAUAUCUAUUUAUUUUUCUUUAUUGACUAUUCUCUAAUUAUGGUAGUAUUUCAAUGCGAGUAUUUAAAAAAAUAUAUUUUAUAAUUGUGGUAAUAAUUAUGAUUAUGAGGGUUUCAGUUAUUAUUAAUAUAUUUUUGACUUAAUCACAGUUUUAGUACCUUUAUUUUUACUGAUUCACCAAAUUGAUCCCCUAUUUUAGAAAUCAAUCAUUUUGGUCUCUCUUAUUUAUUUUUUAACUAAAAAAAUGAAGAGGUGAGAUGCUUUAAAUAAGUUACUAAUGAUACGAUGAUAUAGAAUGAUUAACACCUAUGAAAUUUGAAUAAAACACAGUAAUAACUUAGAUUGCAAAUUCAGAAAUUUUCAUAUUUUUAAUUUAAUUAAUGACAUAAUAAUUAAUGUGUCUAGUUGGUUCUAUAUCAUAGAAUUGCAUGUCACAUCAUUAAAAGUAUGUCAAAUUUUCAUUUUUAUAGUUCAAAAAUUUGAGGCAGGAACCAAAACUUUCGAAUUUUAAAAUAAGGAGACUAAUUUCGUAAAUUGAUAACAAUAGAGAGACCAAAAUUGAAACUAAGCCUAUAUUUUUUUUAAGUUUAAUACUUGAAUUUUCUUUAUUUUGUAAAGUAUUGAUAUUGAAAUAAUUGAGAAGACAUUUAAAAUCACGAGUGUAUUACAAUGUGAGAUAAAUAGAAGAGCCGUAUUUCUCAUCAAUUAAUCCAGGUUCACUACACAUGGCGGUAAUCCUACGUAGUAAUAAUUGAAUUAAUAUGAAAAAUUGGAGCUUGUUUGAAUAAAAUAUGGAUUAGAAACUUUUAUAACAUGUUGUGUUAGAGUAAGAAAGCAACUAAACAUUUGAAAAAACUCUAUAAAUAUAUCUUCAUUUGUUUUUCAAAAGGGGAUCUGAUCUUUAACUCUGUUAAUAAAAAAAAUACAUAUAAAGAAGAGGUAGAAACCAGAGAGAGUAUCAAUAACAUUAAAUAAAAUAGAAAACGUCAAUGUAUAUUUGUUUUUCUCCUAUAUAAUAAAUAUGUUUGUUCUUUAUCUUCACCAUGUAAUUACUUCUUUUUUUUUUGUUAUAAAAAUAUAGAUUUUUGAUUUAUAAGAGAAAAAGUAAGAUAACAUAACGAACGAAAAUAAAAAAUAAGACUAAAAAGUUCAAACCUGAGACGAUGUUAUUAUUGCUAUCGCCGCCGAAACGGCAACCAAAUAUUUUGGCGCCGCCGCGCGCUCCUCCUCGAUCUCAUCCCAUCUCUCAGUAUUUCUCUCUCUCCGCCGAAACGGCAACCAAAUAUUUCUCUCUCUCCCUCUCUCGAUUUCCUCUCUCUCCCUCUUAAUCGGUUUCCUUUUCUUCUUUUCUUCUUCUUUUUUUGUUUUUUGUUUUGUUUUCGUUCCAGAAACCGUUUAUGGUUUCUCUAUUAAACCGGCCGCUGCCCA